rnacentral:rRNA from 1 species
AUUGAACGCUGGCGGCAGGCCUAACACAUGCAAGUCGAGCGAGCGGCGGACGGGUGAGUAAUGUGUGGGAAACUGCCCGAUGGAGGGGGAUAACUACUGGAAACGGUGGCUAAUACCGCAUACCAUCGGAGGUGCCCCGAUGGGAUUAGCUAGUCGGUGGGGUAACGGCUCACCUAGGCGACGAUCCCUAGCUGGUCUGAGAGGAUGACCAGCCACACUGGAACUGAGACACGGUCCAGACUCCUACGGGCGGCAGCAGUGGGGAAUAUGGCACAAUGGGCGCAAGCCUGAUGCAGUCAUGCCGCGUGUAUGAAGAAGGCCUUCGGGUUGUAAAGUACUUUCAGCGGGGAGGCGUUACCCGCAGAAGAAGCACCGGCUAACUCCGUGCCAGCAGCCGCGGUAAUAC